UGAACAUCUUUUUUGCUUGCUGUUCUUUGUUUCUUUUUCUGUGAUGGGAAGAGGCGAUGAAGCUUCUUGAUUUUGCUAUUGUUUUGAUAAUAGAUUAUUGAUGUCUCUAAUGAUGAUAAAAAAACUGUCGUUCUUCUGACAAUUUACAACCAUGUGGAAGUAUUUUAUGGAGACCUGAACUGAAGGGAUAUCUUCUUCUUCUUUUGUAUUUCACACAUAUUGAUAUUCUUAAAACCAGCAUUCGAUAAUGUUUUUGUUGCCUCUAAUGAUGAUGCUUAUUAUACUUUCGUUGUUCCGAGACUUUCCGUGCGGAAAUAUUUUUGGAGACCUGAACUGAAGAGGCUUAAUUCUGAUUGUUGUCUUGAAACUAUUUUGAAUUCAAAGUGUUUCUGGUUUUAUCCUGGAUCGUAGAAGUUUCCGUUUGAAUUUGCCUCUGUAUAGUCUUUAAUCUUGCUUCAAGCAGAGAUUUUGAUGUUUUAUACGUGAUUAGAAACUCUGAUCUGUAAUUUUUUUCAUCAAAUUAUCAUUUUUUGAUCAUGUUCACAUCACCGAGGUUUAUGUUGUUGACAUUCCGUGUUCUGUAUCUUUUUUAUUAGUAUCAUAUAUUAUAUUACUGCUCCUUGGUAGUACUCUUUUCUUUCCAUUUAUUCCCGAUCAAAAUCUUGUCAUAAGGGACUUUCGGUUCUGUUUUUCCCCCCAUUGAAGUACGUUUGGUUAACAAGCUGUCUUUUUUGUUUAAAUUCUAUUGGGAGUCCUUUUUUUUUCGAAGUAGCUUAUAUGAAGUGAUGCUGUUACAGCAUGUGAACCCAACCCUGCUUGCCAGAAGAUGGAUUUCUUACGGCUGCCUCAUUCAAGUUGGUGGCCAUUGAAGAGGUAGAUUAAAGUGUCCCACCUUUGUUCAAGAUGAGCCAGCCAAUGGAGGAAGAUGCACCAAUGUGUUGACAAGUUGAACAGCUGCUCCUCUAUCGUGUCAUGGUCAUGAGCAGCAUCAACAAAAGGCCAAAUUCACUUUUCAAAUCCCGACAAACCUUGAAGGUCCAGUCCCAGAGCAUGAUGAUCUGCAAAAUUGCACCCCUGAUUUAUAUUAUCCAGAAUCACAAGAUACCGUAACCUUGUUACUAGCAUAAUUUUUACUUUCUGGUCGCUCUUUUUCUAGGUGAUGAAAGAAAAAUGCUUGGUUUCCUUUUACUUGAGUUGAUUCUAUACUAUCUUAAAAUUAGCUGUUGUACCACACAAAACCAAAAUUACUGAAACGAAGGUCUAUAAUUACAUGUAUACUGGUUUAAGCUAGGAUUGGAGAAGCCAGGUCCAAGAAGAGCACUACAGAUAGUGCACUAACUAUCGUAGAAGUUUCCCUCAUUCCAUGCAUGUUCAUUCCAAGAGCUCAAGAUGCUGUGGUUGCUAAUCUUCGGCUAUGCCAAGGGUUACUUCACUGGUAAUAAACCCUUUAGAAGUGCUUUGCCAACUGCCGCCCUUAUCGAUGCCAUUGCUUCUGCUGCAGCAUUUGGUAUGGCUAAGGCUGUCCACCCAUAAUUCUCCUAGUUCCUAUCAUGUAAUCCCAACAAUUCAAAUAAUUGCACCAGUUUUUUCCCC